ACUCAAAUGAAUUGACGGGGGCCCGCACAAGCGGCGGAGCAUGUUGCUUAAUUCGAGGCAACGCGAAGAACCUUACCUAGGUUGAACUACGCAGGAAAAGCCACAGAGAUGUGGUGUCCUUCGGGGUCUGCGAUAGGUGGUGCAUGGCUGUCGUCAGCUCGUGUCGUGAGAUGUUGGGUUAAGUCCCGCAACGAGCGCAACCCUUAUCCUAUGUUGCCAGCGGGUAAUGCCGGGGACUCGUAGGAGACUGCCGGGGUCAACUCGGAGGAAGGUGGGGAUGAGGUCAAGUCAUCAUGCCCCUUAUGCCUAGGGCUGCAAACAUGCUACAAUGGCUGGUACAAAGGGCUGCUAUACCGCGAGGUUGAGCGAAUCCCAGAAAGCCAGUCUCAGUUCGGAUUGGAGUCUGCAACUCGACUCCAUGAAGCCGGAGUCGCUAGUAAUCCCGGAUCAGCAACGCCGGGGUGAAUACGUUCCCGGGCCUUGUACACACCGCCCGU
rnacentral:rRNA from 1 species